GAGGGCAUAGCUCAGUGGUAGAGCACGUGCUUAGCAUGCAUGAGGUCCUGGGUUCAGUCCCCAGAACCUCCU
rnacentral:tRNA from 1 species